GAUGUAUAAUAAGCUACUGAGAGUAUGGUUUGUGUUGUGAAACAGUCACAGUUUCCACCCUAACAAGAGGCUUAGGGUUAUGUAAUGGUCAAAGUCAACAUUGUAACAUUAGGGUAAUAUUGUUAACUGAGAUUAUCAUUGUGAAAAGGUUCAUUUUAACAUGUGAUUAGCAUUGUGAAAAGGUUCAUUGUAACCUGUGAUUAGCAUAUCGAAAAGGUUCAUUGUAACAUGUGAUUAUCAUUGUGAAAAGGUUCAUUGUAACAUGUGAUUAGCAUUGCCAAAAGGUUCAUUGUAACAUUGUAACAUGUGAUUGUCAUUGUGAAAAGGUUCAUUGUAACAUGUGAUUAUCAUUGCGAAAAUGUUCAUUGUAACAUGUGAUUAGCAUUGUGAAAAGGUUCAUUGUAACAUGUGAUUAUCAUUGAAAAGGUUCAUUGUAACAUGUGAUUAUCAUUGAAACGGUUCAUAUUCACAUUGUAACAUGUGAUUAUCAUUGUGACAAGGUUCAUUGUAACAUGUGAUUAGCAUUGCGAAAAGGUUCAUUGUAACAUUGUAACAUGUGAUUAGCAUUGUGAAAAGGUUCAUUGUAACAUGUGAUUAUC
ensembl:lncRNA